GAGGGUAUAGCUCAGUGGUAAAAUGCAUGCUUAGCACACAUGAAGUCCUGGGUACAAUCCCCAGUACCUCCA
rfam:Camelus ferus unplaced genomic scaffold scaffold655, whole genome shotgun sequence.